rnacentral:rRNA from 1 species
AUGCAGAUCUUCGUGAAGACCCUUACUGGCAAGACCAUCACCCUUGAGGUUGAGUCCUCUGACACCAUCGACAAUGUCAAGGCAAAGAUACAGGACAAGGAGGGCAUCCCCCCGGACCAGCAGCGUCUCAUCUUUGCUGGCAAGCAGCUCGAGGAUGGCCGCACCCUUGCGGACUACAACAUCCAGAAGGAGUCCACCCUCCACCUGGUUCUCAGGCUCCGUGGUGGUAUGCAGAUAUUUGUCAAGACCCUCACUGGCAAGACCAUCACCCUGGAGGUUGAGUCCUCGGACACCAUUGACAAUGUGAAGGCCAAGAUCCAGGACAAGGAGGGUAUCCCACCGGAUCAGCAGCGUCUCAUCUUUGCCGGCAAGCAGCUUGAGGAUGGCCGCACCCUUGCAGACUACAACAUCCAGAAGGAGUCCACUCUCCACUUGGUGCUCAGGCUCCGUGGUGGUAUGCAGAUCUUCGUCAAGACCCUCACAGGCAAGACCAUCACCCUGGAGGUUGAGUCCUCGGACACCAUCGNNNNNNNNNNNNNNNNNACCCUUGCGGAUUACAACAUCCAGAAGGAGUCCACCCUCCACUUGGUGCUCAGGCUCCGUGGUGGCAUGCAGAUAUUUGUGAAGACCCUCACUGGCAAGACCAUCACCCUGGAGGUGGAGUCGUCUGACACCAUUGACAACGUGAAGGCGAAGAUCCAGGACAAGGAGGGCAUCCCCCCGGACCAGCAGCGUCUCAUCUUUGCCGGUAAGCAGCUUGAGGAUGGCCGCACCUUGGCGGACUACAACAUCCAGAAGGAGUCCACCCUUCACUUGGUGCUCCGUCUCCGUGGUGGCCAGUAA